UUGAUACUCCCUCCGUCCGGGAAUACUUGUCAUCAAAAUGGAUGAAAAUGGAUGUAUGUAGAACUAAAAUACAUCUAGAUACAUCUAAUUCAAUGACAAGUAUUUCCAGACGGAGGGAGUAGGAG
rfam:Triticum aestivum genome assembly, contig: Triticum_aestivum_CS42_TGACv1_scaffold_592785_7BS